GUCCUGCUUUUGGGCUAGAGGCCCGGGGCCGCUCCCGAGCUUUCUCCCCUCUUCCCUGGAGAGCGACUGUUCGGGAGGGUGAGAAUGGUAUAAAUUUCAAAAACAACGAAACCUUCUUUUGCCCCCUCCGCAGCAGUCGCCUCCGGGCUUUAUUGCAAGUUUACGGUAACGAGUUCAUCUAUUUAAUUCGCGGUUGCAGCUCGGGGAUUUCUAUUAGACAGGACGGGUUGGGGCCGGGGGGCACAGGGUCUCCCCUGAAGGAAACCCAAUUAGAGUGCAGCACUUAGCACCUUCAAUAUAACUUUAAUGAAGGGGGGGAGGGGAGCUGCAGGGAAGAGAAGUUUGCUCUAGGUUGGGGAAGGAAAGCUGGAGCUGCUCCCGAGAACUGGGGGGCCUGGAUGAGGCUUUUUCCUGCUUCGAGGGCUUUCCAGCUUCCGGCCCGGGAACUACUAUUUGGAGUAGGGAUCGCCUGCAGGGAAGGCGGGGCGGAUUCUCGGCUGGCGGCGGCCUCGCAGGGUUCCCGGAAGCGCUAGCCAGCCGGAGUAAAACCCGAAAGAUGGAGCCUCAGGUUCGCGCUCUGCGUUGCGGGUGCUGGAACCGAGAUUCAAAAAGAGCUUCCGGAGGUAGUUUCUACGCAUUGCGCCACUACUCCCUUAUUCGGCUUCUGGAGGCCUAAUAAAAUCCACUUGCUUUGGAGUUAGAAAUUAUUUCGGGCCUGGAGCCCGCGUAGACGCGACCCUGUGAUCCCAUUUCGUAGCUUGCUGAGAGAUUCGCUGCGGGAGUUUGGCUCUGAGGGAGGGGAACGGUCUGGAGGGCAGCUCAGGGUACAAUUGCGCCUUGUUAGUGAAAAGGCGCCCUGCUUAUUUUCCGGAGUAUAUGUGUGUGCCUCUGCGUUUAUUCGUCUGUGAGCUCAUUGUCUGGAUUCACCUAUUGUGACAUUGUGUUCACACGUUUGUCCGAAUGGUUCCAUACAAGUAAAUCCGAAAAAAAGUGUGUGUGGGGGGGUCCACACCACUAAUUAUUAUGGCGAGGAAGAUAAAGAAGACAUGGACAGAAGGCGGAUGGCUCUGCGGCCUGGCUCCCGCAGACCGACCGCCUUCUUCUUCCAUUCGAGAUGGCUCGUACCGAACCUCCUUGCCUUCUUCCUGGGUCUCUCGGGGGCUGGACCAAUACAUCUGCCGAUGCCCUGGCCGAAUGGCAGGCGACAUCGGGUCCUGGACCCCCACACGCAGCUCAGUACCCACGAGGCCCCAGGCCGCUGGAAGCCUGUAGCUCCGCGGACGAUGAAAGCCUGCCCGCAGGUUCUCCUGGAGUGGUGAGCCUCUGUCGGAAGGGGGCGCCCACGUCUUUUUAAUGGUCCUAACACACCAGUGGAAUAAAUCUCUAAGAUUCCACAUCUUUUGUUUGCUCUGAAU
rnacentral:lncRNA from 1 species